UUAACAUGUAAAAAUAUCAAUUUCCUAGAUAAACUAUGCCGUCAAACUACAUAAAAUUAAAUUCUUAUCAAAAAUAAAAACAAAAGAAAAUACUUGGAUUUUUUUUUGCAGAUCAAAGUAGUUUUUUACUAUAAUUAUUCAUACACAACAAGGCCAGAGUGCCAUAAACUUUUGCUACAUGGACAUUAUUCAAGAUACUAAAGGUUAGCCUCAUAGUAAUAAUUAGCCAACCCUAGCACUCAUAACUAUUUUACAUAGAUAAUACUCCCAAAAGCAUUAAUUAAACAAGACAGUAGUCCAUUUUGUAGCCGUACCAUUUGUGCUAUAUUAUAGAAUUGGUCCUCGGAUCCGCAAUUUUCAUUUUAGAAGGUAGUGUUACGAAUUUGAGGCGGUAGUCAUCAGUAGCGUCAUCGGUAGGGCAAUCUACGAACCUUGUUGCUUGUUGGUUCAUGCAUACAUUAAUAUCCGUAAGCACAUAUUCUGAGUUUUCGUUUUUGGUGAAAUCGAUUUCUGGCACAGCAUUCAAGUGCUUUUUGAUUGCUUCUUUUAUCAUUUUAGGACGAUAAAGGUCGUUAUUCGGGUGAAUCCCUACACAUUUUUGAAUAGUAAUCUCAUCAAACUCACAUUAUCAUUUUACUUAGGAAGCAAUGAACCAAAUUAAAGACUAUUUAAUUAUAUAUGAAUGGGUAUGUUUACCUUCCUGGUUUAGUAGCCCAAUUAUAUCAAAUGCUUUUCUAAAAGCAAGCGCCGUUCUAAAAUAAUCAGUCUGCUUCAACAAUGCUUCUGAACACCUUCCAUGUUUCUUCCACUCGUAUUCCCAGAAUUGUACGUCCUCGGUGUUAGUUUCAUGACUCGGCCAUGCAAGAUGCAUUUCUGCUCGAAAGUCCGAUACCUUUAAUUUUCAAAAUGAAGGAGGAGAGAUAUUAGUUUAACAUAUGUGAGUAUGUAUGGAUAUAUUGCAUGUACACUUUCAAUUUUUUAUCAAACAAACUUAUGACUUAUCCAACUCUUCAAGAUAUAUAUAAAUGUUACCACAAAAAAAAAACAUAUUUAAUAGACAAUAGAGCAAGAAUUUUAAGUAGUAAAUUAAAUGCAGACCGAGAGAACUCACAGAGUUAACAUCAAAGGCAGUUCCGUCACAAUAUAACCCUGGGGUCCCCUUCUCGUUAUAGGGAUAAAGGCCGUGAAUGGUAAAUGUGUUGAGGAGAGACUUUGUAUCACAGGCAUUGUUGACCUCGCAAAAUCCAGCUGGCCAUUGAAGCCUUAGGGCAAACAUUGCCAAUGGAUAAUCUGAUCGAGCAUUCCCACCCCAAGAGAAAAUGCUCAAGCUCACUAUAAUGAUGCUGAUAAUAUAUAUUGCCCUCAUGAUCUCUUCAAACUUCAACAACUUUUUUCUUAAGAAAUGAAGUGUGUGUUUUCUGUGAUCUCUAGACUUCCAUGCAUACCCUUUUAUAGUCACCAGUUCUUUUUUAAUUAUAAUAAGAAAAAACUUAUAAAAUAUUUUUAUUUAUAUUUUUGAGUGUUAAUUUAUCCGUAA
rnacentral:lncRNA from 1 species